rnacentral:tRNA from 1 species
GCCAGCAUGGUGUAGUGGUUUGAAUGUUGGACUAUGACUCCAGAGAUCAGGGUUUGAUUCUCUGCUUGAGCA